GCCGGGCGCAGUGGCGCAUGCCUGUAAUCCCAGCAGCUUGGGAGGCUGAGGCUGAGGCAUGGGGACCGCAAGUUCAAAGCCAGCCUCAA
rnacentral:sRNA from 1 species